UACGGAGGGUGCUAGCGUUGUUCGGAAUCACUGGGCGUAAAGCGCGUGUAGGCGGUCUGCUAAGUCUGAUGUGAAAGCCCGGGGCUCACCCCCGGAAGUGCAUUGGAAACUGGCAGACUGGAGUCCCGGAGAGGAGAGUGGAAUUCCUGGUGUAGCGGUGAAAUGCGCAGAUAUCAGGAAGAACACCCGUGGCUAAGGCGGCUCUCUAGUACGGUACUGACGCUGAGACGCGAAAGCGUGGGGAGCGAACAGG
rnacentral:rRNA from 1 species